rnacentral:rRNA from 1 species
CACCUCCUCCUCCUCCGCCGCCGCCGACCGCCGCCGCCGACCGCCGAUCGGUGAGUCGCCCGAUCCGCCCCGCCCCGCCCCGCCCCCCCGGCGCCGAUCGCCGCUGGAUCGGCCGGAUCUGGGGUAGGAGGGGAGGGGAGGACGCGAUGGAGGCCGACUCCGGGAAGCUCUUCGUCGGCGGCAUCUCCUGGGAGACGGACGAGGACCGCCUCCGCGAAUACUUUGGCCGCUUCGGCGAGGUCACCGAGGCUGUCAUCAUGCGGGACCGCAACACCGGCCGCGCGCGGGGCUUCGGCUUCAUAGUCUUCGCUGAGGCAGGCGUCGCUGAGCGAGUCACCAUGGACAAGCACAUGAUCGAUGGCCGCAUGGUCGAAGCCAAGAAAGCUGUUCCCAGGGACGACCAGAGCAUUGCAAGCAAGAACAAUGGCAGCAGCAUAGGCUCGCCUGGGCCAGUCCGUACCAGAAAGAUCUUUGUUGGGGGGCUGGCCUCCAAUGUUACUGAGGUUGAAUUCAGAAGGUAUUUUGAGCAAUUCGGUAUGAUAACAGAUGUGGUUGUCAUGUACGACCACAACACACAGAGGCCCAGGGGCUUUGGCUUCAUCACCUAUGAUUCAGAAGAUGCAGUGGAUAAGGCGCUGCACAAGAACUUCCACGAGCUUAAUGGCAAGAUGGUUGAAGUCAAGAGAGCUGUCCCAAAGGAGCAGUCGCCUGGACCUGUCGCACGCUCACCUGCUGGAGGGCAGAACCUUGCUAUCAGCAGGGUUCACAACUUCUUGAAUGGCUUCAACCAGGGAUAUAGCCCAAACCCGAUAGGAGGUUACGGCAUGAGAGUGGAUGGAAGGUUUGGGCUGCUUUCAGGUGCACGAAAUGGGUUUUCUUCAUUUGGCCCCAGUUAUGGAAUGGGCAUGAAUGUUGAAACUGGGAUGAAUGCGAAUUUUGGUGCAAACUCUAGUUUCCUCAAUAACUCAAAUGGGCGGCAAAUGGGUUCAUACUACAAUGGUGGUUCAAACAGACUAGGCAGCCCUAUUGGGUAUGUUGGUCUGAAUGACGAUUCAGGAUCAAUAUUGAGUUCAAUGGGAAGGAAUGUUUGGGGUAAUGGAAAUGUCAACUACCAGAACAGCCCUACAAACAUGAGUUCUUUUGUACCAUCUGGAAGUGGGAGUCAAGUUGGUAUUACUGGCGACGGUAUAAAUUGGGGAGGUCCUACUUCUGCCCACGGGAUGGGAAGCAUUUCAAGCCUUGGGUCUAACAUUGGCCGUGGGGCUGGAGAUAACUUUGGCUUGCCGUCUGGUGGCUAUGGAAGGAGCAACCCAACUGGCACCAUUGGUGAACCUUUUUCUGCGUCAGCCAAUGCAUAUGAAAUGAACAACAUAGAUACAUAUGGCAACAACUCUAUUUAUGGUGACUCAACCUGGAGGUUCACGUCAUCUGAGAUCGAUAUUCCUCCUUUUGAUAACGAUCUUGGAAAUAUCGAUCCAGAUAUCAAAUCGAACAUGCCAGCAAGUUACAUGGGCAACUAUACUGUUAAUAAUAAUCAGACAAGCAGAGGUAUCACUUCCUAGGCGAGAAUAUUAUUAUAGUCAUAUAUAUGACUUGGGAUAGGCAAGACACCCAUUAUAUCAGGUAUUCAGGUGCAGUACUGUGAAUUGGUGAUAUCAGAUUAAUAUACAGGUUAGUUAAUUGUUUCUAGCUAACCAGAGGUGUGGUUUACGGACACCAACCAACAUGCUAGAGGAGCGGGAUACAAACAUUUUGUGAAGGUUUCAGAUUUUAGUUUAAUUUUCUACGUGUAUUAGGUCUUUUGGUUUUCCAAUGAGAUGUGCAGUGGUGAUUGCGGCACACACUUAGAAGGUGUUCCAACAUAAGCUGGAAUUCUGUCAUACGGACGACAAGCUUGUAUACCAGGGAUGCUGUAUUAUCUUGCCCAUUUAUGGCAACAUUAGCUUGCGUGUUUUUCCUCUUCUCCUUUUUUAACCAUUUCAUUUGUUACUAGAGGAUUUGGUCGGCUUUACUAGUAAAAACUAUUUGGGGGUGCCAAUGCCAUCCUGGUCCCCAUUAAUAAAGUCACCCAAAG